UACGUAGGGCGCAAGCGUUGUCCGGAAUUAUUGGGCGUAAAGAGCUCGUAGGCGGUUUGUCGCGUCUGCUGUGAAAACCUAAGGCUCAACCUUGGGCUUGCAGUGGGUACGGGCAGACUAGAGUGCGGUAGGGGUGACUGGAAUUCCUGGUGUAGCGGUGAAAUGCGCAGAUAUCAGGAGGAACACCGGUGGCGAAGGCGGGUCUCUGGGCCGAUACUGACGCUGAGAAGCGAAAGCGUGGGGAGCGAACAGG
rnacentral:rRNA from 1 species